rnacentral:rRNA from 1 species
GGGAAUUUUCCGCAAUGGGCGAAAGCCUGACGGAGCAACGCCGCGUGAGGGAGGAAGGUCUUUGGAUUGUAAACCUCUUUUCUCAAGGAAGAAGUUCUGACGGUACUUGAGGAAUCAGCCUCGGCUAAUUCCGUGCCAGCAGCCGCGGUAAUACGGGAGUGGCAGGCGUUAUCCGGAAUUAUUGGGCGUAAAGCGUCCGCAGGCGGCCUUGUAAGUCUGUCGUUAAAGCGUGGAGCUUAACUCCAUUUCAGCGAUGGAAACUACAAGGCUUGAGUGUGGUAGGGGCAGAGGGAAUUCCCGGUGUAGCGGUGAAAUGCGUAGAUAUCGGGAAGAACACCAGUGGCGAAGGCGCUCUGCUGGGCCAUAACUGACGCUCAUGGACGAAAGCCAGGGGAGCGAAAGGGAUUAGAUACCCCUGUAGUC